GUACUCACUUUGUCAUCUCUGUAUUCUAAAAUUAGAACAAUACAGAGAUUAGCAUGGCCCCAGCAUAAGGAUGACAUGUAAUUUUUGAUGUAUACUAUGUUUUU
ensembl:snRNA U6 U6 spliceosomal RNA